CACAAGAGGUGGCAUUUGCGCUUCCUGAGGAACUGACGAGAGUUUGGGCGCGGCCUCAUCAGAUGGGACUUCUUGCUCUUGAGCUGAGGAACCCAGAAGAAUUUCCGCUGAGGGGAAGACAACGCGCUCGGCUGGAGGAAGCCUGAUGCGCACGCUCAUUUCCUGCAGACUUGGGAGCUGGAGAUGUUGAAGGGAAGAACCUGGUUUCAUCACACAUGUUCAGCAGAAGCUGUGUGCUGUGGUUUGAAAUGGCUUUCAGUUUGUGGGUGCUAAAACCCGCAAGAUCGUAUGAGGACGGUGCUAAGAGGGUGCAGUUACAGAAGGAGCGGAAGAGCG